rnacentral:rRNA from 1 species
UACAGAGGUGGCAAGCGUUGUUCGGAAUUACUGGGCGUAAAGGGCGCGUAGGCGGCCUUCUAAGUCAGACGUGAAAUCCCCCGGCUUAACCUGGGAACUGCGUCUGAUACUGGGAGGCUAGAGUGCGGGAGAGGGAUGCGGAAUUCCAGGUGUAGCGGUGAAAUGCGUAGAUAUGCGGAGGAACACCGAUGGCGAAGGCAAUCCCCUGGGCCUGCACUGACGCUCAUGCACGAAAGCGUGGGGAGCAAACAGG